AUUGAACGCUGGCGGCAUGCCUUACACAUGCAAGUCGAACGGCAGCACGGGUGCUUGCACCUGGUGGCGAGUGGCGAACGGGUGAGUAAUACAUCGGAACAUGUCCUGUAGUGGGGGAUAGCCCGGCGAAAGCCGGAUUAAUACCGCAUACGAUCUACGGAUGAAAGCGGGGGACCUUCGGGCCUCGCGCUAUAGGGUUGGCCGAUGGCUGAUUAGCUAGUUGGUGGGGUAAAGGCCUACCAAGGCGACGAUCAGUAGCUGGUCUGAGAGGACGACCAGCCACACUGGGACUGAGACACGGCCCAGACUCCUACGGGAGGCAGCAGUGGGAAAUUUUGGACAAUGGGCGAAAGCCUGAUCCAGCAAUGCCGCGUGUGUGAAGAAGGCCUUCGGGUUGUAAAGCACUUUUGUCCGGAAAGAAAUCCUUGGCUCUAAUACAGUCGGGGGAUGACGGUACCGGAAGAAUAAGCACCGGCUAACUACGUG
rnacentral:rRNA from 1 species